CCGCGAGUCCAGCUCCCAGGAAGAGGAUCUGAUCGAUGGCUUCGCCAUCGCCAGCUUCAACACCCUGGAAGCGCUGGAGAAGGACAUGUCGCUAAAGCCUCAGGAGCGGAAGGAGAAAUGGGAGAGGCAUCCAGGCAAAAAACCUAGAGAAUCUGAAAACUGUGUAUCUGCUGAGCCAAGUGAAAAUGGCCAUAACAAUGAUGCGGGGAGCUCAGAGAGAGAGGCAGAAAGAGGCAAGGAGCGGAUGAAGAAGAAACUCCCCUUGAAGCUAUCCAAACAGGUAGGGAAACACUUCUCCUCUGGAGCCACCAUCGUGGUGUUGGCCACUGUGAGAUGUUGUCCUUGCUGGUAGGUGAAGUUGUCCGUGUAAAUGGCUUUUCUGGGCCGGUGAAAACAAUGCCUCUUACAAGACUUGUGGCCAAGUGCACAAAUGCUGUGUUGAGGGCAGGUUCCAUAAGCUGGAGUGGAAGCCAGGUGCACUGAAUAAUGUGGGAAGGAAGGAGCAGACCUCCCUCGGGUCCUGCAGCUUUGAUUCAGUACAGUGAUCCAUGCAGUAGAUUCGUGGCCCUUGUGGUCUUGAGCACGAGUAGAAAUCAUCAGGUCAUAAAAACUCCUUUGGAGGAUUUGUGCUGGGCAAUGUGCACCUGGAAGUUACAAACUUCUAUGUCCAUCUCAUGACUCGAGUUUCACUUACCCCCAAAACACAUGAUUGAGGAGGAGAGACUAUUCAAGUAUUUUAGAAGUGGAAAGUCAUUUUGCAGAAGUUGUGCUCUGGGCAUUCUUUCCUGUGUACCCUUGUGAAAUGUGGUAGAGCAUUAAUGAAUGAAGAGUUGUCAUGCUGUAGGGAAUUAUUCCAGAGGCUCCAUCUGAGCCACAGUGUGUACAGAGGGGCAGGUGACAAAGAAAAGGCUGUGGCUGGCAGGCUCUUUAUCUCUUAACUGCUGCUCAGCAGGGAGAUUUGUUAGUGACUUAGUGUGCAUUCAUGGGCUGGCAGUCCCCAUGGCACAGCAGCAUCUCUCUGUGGACACUUUCCCAGUUGUCCUUAACAAGUGCCAAGUGGCAGCCAGUGGGAACACCAGUGUACUUGACCUUCCAGCAUUAGUUCCGAGCUAAGAAACACACUAAGAUGAAAAAGUGGUUUUUAUUCUCCAUUUCUCCAGCAGAAAAAGAGCUGUUUAACUCAAGCCACCUUCUGUUCCAUGAAACUAAUCCUGUGUGUGUGCCAGACAGCCAAAGAUUGAAUUGUCCAGUUACUGGAAAUGGUUUUAUUCAGACUUGCAAUACUUUAACAUUAAAAAAGAUGGUGAAGGUUAUGUCAUGUAACCCUCCCCUAUUACUUCUCUAUCAAUGCUCUUCUGUGUUUCAGCAUAUUAAUUUAGAAGGGCUCAUCACAUUUUAAAUUACAAAUUCUCAUGGUCUGGUAAAAGUUGUUUCUUCAGUUCUAAAAUUGCACUGCAGGAAAUCCAGUGCAUGGCAGGGAUUUGCAGAAUUGUGGAUGUGUGAGACAAUGGGGAGGUUCCUUCUUCCUGCAGGAGGAAAAGGUUGAGAACAGUGACAUGUUCUACAUGAAAUUUAAAACUCAGUUUCACAUAGUUAUGUCCAGUGGGGAUUUCAUGGCACUUCCAUAGAAGCCUCUGGGGUAAGAGAUUUUCUUGCACUGGCAGACUGUGAUUUCUCUCAUAUUCUGCUGCCUUAGUUUACCAAAUAUUUAGUUUAUUGGUAUUUCAGCUUUGAAAAAUCAGGGUGUUUUUACUUAUUUCUUCUGAGUAGUAUUUGGCUGCCAUCAGUGAUUAAAUAGGGGAUUUGCUGCCACAUUCAUAAAAACCUGAAUUCAACUUCCAUUGUUUAAUUUUUUUUUAACCUGUAAGGAUAAGUAACAAACUCGAAAAAGAGCCUGCACAAAGAGUAUAAAAGAAAACCUGUGAUGAGUGACUCAUUUAAUACAUGGUGCCUCUUUAAAUAAGUCACACUUAAAAUUCCUCUCUUGUUGGAAAGGGAGGUUUUUUAAAUACCUGCUAUUAUCCUAGCUGAUACAGUUGUGAAAUCCAGACAAGUUUGGAGGUCUGUGAGGUUGAUGAAAGUAGCAGCAAAAUCUAAGCUACAUAAACUAGGCUAUUCUUAGUUCAAACUCAUUAUGCAAGUGAUAUAUAGACAAGUUCAAUAAUUUUUCCUUCUUUUUAGUAACCACAAAUUUCACACCUAGAAUUCUGGCAUUUCCUGCCAAGCUGUCUAGACAAAUUGGCUGUAAUACUAAGUUUUUUGGAAUUGGGGGGAUGAUUUUUGCAUCUCAGGGUUAUUAAACAUAGGUUUAUACCUAAUUUGGAUAGCUUACUGUAAUUAAUGCUAAUUAUAUUGAGAUGUUGCUUAGAAAUUACUGUUCAAUUUGAAGCUUUCCUUCUACUCUCAUCCCCUCUCUUCACAAUGCUACUGAAUUGUCAUCUUUUCUAUGCAGCCUCCUCUAAUAAAUCAAAUUGGGCAUUAUAAUUAUGGCAUUCUGCUAAUCCUUGUAGAGAGGUGCAAAGUGGUAAGCUGAUUUCAGUGCCAGGUUGUCUGCUUUGUUUAGAAAAUUAGAUUUAUACUUCACUCCAUUUGACAAAGCAUCCAGAUUGCUAUUGCUCCUGAAUAUUUGGUUGUUCUGUACCUCAGGCUAUGGGGAGAGGGCUGCAAGAACCAAUCUGUCCUUUCCAGCCUAUUACUCCCAACUGUGUAUAAAAAUCAUUCAAACACAUUUCUCUCUUGCUGUAACUAAGCAGAGGGAGAAAAAGGCAUUUUAAAUAGUCUAGAUCCUUUUGUCCAAGAUUUGUCAGAGUUUGGGGCUGCUCUCAACACAUGUGCACAGGGCAAGGUGCUGACUUGAAACUUGACUUGAAACUGCUCUUAUAAUGGGGAUCA